rnacentral:tRNA from 7 species
UCCCUGAUAGCUCAGUUGGUAGAGCGACGGACUGUUAAUCCGCAGGUCCCAGGUUCGAGCCCUGGUCGGGGAGCCA